rnacentral:rRNA from 1 species
UACGUAGGGUGCGAGCGUUGUCCGGAAUUACUGGGCGUAAAGAGCUCGUAGGUGGUUUGUCGCGUUGUCCGUGAAAACUCACAACUCAAUUGCGGGCGUGCGGGCGAUACGGGCAGACUGGAGUACUGCAGGGGAGACUGGAAUUCCUGGUGUAGCGGUGGAAUGCGCAGAUAUCAGGAGGAACACCGGUGGCGAAGGCGGGUCUCUGGGCAGUAACUGACGCUGAGGAGCGAAAGCGUGGGGAGCAAACAGG